rnacentral:lncRNA from 1 species
AAAACCCCACACCGAGAAUCGUGCAUGCAAAAAUAAGGGGAGCACUCUGUGUCGGUGCGCCGAUCGAAUUUUCGGCCGGUCGGGCAGCACCGUUCGAUUUGGGCUUCAAUAGCCGUUAGAUCUGGCAUCUCAUCCUCUCUUUGACUUCGUCUUCAACCUCUGUCCCCACGAGCCUCCGCCCCACGCGUCUCCGACCUCCUGCCCCAUGAGCAACCACAUCCUCUCCCUGUCAUCGUUUCUCGUCGCAGCACCCCAUGCCCUCUCC